GACCUGUUUGUGCCCUGAAAGCAAGCAGGGGACACACAGCUCUCCUUCCAAGGAAGAAGUCAGGUUUGGCCUCCAGCUUUUGCUGUGUUAUGCUGGUCUGGCUCCCAGCUCCAAAGGCUUUAUUUUCUGUCCAGUGCCUGCUACACCCCACCCAUCUGCCUGUGUGAUGGAAGGAAGGCAGCAUUAAGCAAUCAUUGCUUACAACAGCAUCUUCCAGAAGGACUCAGAGACUUUCAAACCCUCUGCGUUUGUUUUCUUGGGUAAGAAAACAACUACUGCUCCAAUGGCUGUCUUGAGGACUUCUAGGGCCUUGGCUUUGCUGUUUGGAGGGUUUGACACCAAGGCAGUGACUGAGACUCGAGUGCCUGAACCAAAGGGCCAAGAAGGGACUAGUGCUGGUGCAGCCUUUCCUCCAAGCCUGUCAGAAGUCCUGCUUGGCCUCCAUUUACUGUCCGGGAAUUCAGGAUCUCAUGGCACGAGAAAAAUCUGCAAAAUCUUGUAGAAUUCCUUGCAGUGUUGUGAGCACUUCUGUGUGGUUUAAUCUUACAGGGGUUUCUUGAAACUCAUCCUUAUAACAACUUCAGCUUCCAGGGUGUAGCUGACCCUCAGAGGUACAGCACUCCAAACAGCAGUGAAUUCCCACAAUUGAACAUAAGCAGAGAAGUUGGUGUCCCUGCUUUCAGAAGUCAUUGGGUUUUCUCCAUGAUGAGCAGACUGGAGGUUAGCACUACUCUGAAUUAAUGGGGAACAUCCACAGUAGAGGGAUGUGGGAGGGCUUGUGCAGCUCCUCUCCCUCCUGUUCUGCUGUUCCAGAGCCUGCAAACAGCUGCCAAUGUGGUUAAUCAUUAAAAGCAGUGAAAUAGCACUGGUGGAAGCACAACUACAUGAUGUUUAUUAAUGGCUUAGCAGGAAGGUGUUACCUGUAUGCAAGAUGAAGUGUGCCUGGGAGAGGAGGAACUUUCCUGUGAGUCUGCAAGAAAAGAUGCGGAUGAGCUGUGGGUUAGAGAAAGUCUAGAAUGGUUUGGUCACGCAAAAUGGGUGUUUGCUUUGAACUUUAUUCUUCUAACUAAUGGAAUGGUAUUGUCAGCGGUGAAUAGGGAUUCCCAGUGCUGAUUUGAAAAGAGACACACCAGGCACUUGGACACUCAGAGAAAGUUACCAGUGCUCAGCAAGGCCCAUGGAAUCAGAAUAUUUGCAAUAACUGGUGAGAUUCAUCUUAGAUCAGAAGAGUUCCUUCUCCUUCUCACUCACAGCUUCCUGCAAGUGAACCUCAAAUUUCAGUCUACAGCAACUCCAAGCUCCUAUCUGCUCCUCAGUGACCUUUUAUAUGAUUUAACAGGAUGGAAUAUAAAGAGGUUUUCCCUAAGGAUCAGCAUAAAUUUCCUUCUGC